AUUAGAGUAGAUGUGCAACAACUCAGAUGGAAGAAACAGAGCAAAAGAAGUCAGUAUCUUUUACAGGGAAGGUAGUUAUGAUAAAUAUCUGCCUGUUUUAUUUGAUGGUUGUCCACAAACAGUUACACCCAAAUCUUAAUUAAUAGUGUUUGUAUAUAAAAAUCAUUCAGUGUAUAGUUGCCAGCACUAUUUAAUGACUUAGGUCUCUUUCUCUUUUUUGUAUUUUUAGAUUUUGGAGUCCUCUAAUACUUGCUUCUUGGACCAAAGUUAAUUCCUUGAUUAGAUCAUUAUCCUUAUGAACCCUUUCUUCACAAUUGCAAUGGCAGAAGAGAUGUUGCCAGGCCUUUCAGGAAGGGAGAGACACCCAGGUGUGACCCAGUAAGUUAGUAUCAGUCCUCACCCCACCCCCUUCCUGUAGGAAAGGAUCUUAUAACCUGGAAAGGGGAGGGAGCCGGAGAGGUGGUCCAUCUAUUCCCGUGCUGUCAGGUCACAUCACAAAGCAGGACACAUGCUCUCCACCCCUGUUUUCUGUUCACAUUGGAGACUUUUUCAACUGGAAAGCGCCUUGGGCCCUGGAGCUAUGAUGUGUAAGGAAGACAGGGUUGGCUGCCGUUAUAAAGCAAACAGAUGGAAAAUGGAAAGGCCCUGCCAUAAUUCUUCAGAACAUGGUUGGUCUCCAGCCGUUACCCUGCAGGUGGGCCUCUCAUUAAAGUCAGCACAAAAAUGCUGCUGCUGGUGAGCUUCCCUGGGAUUGCAAACAUGUUUUCUGUCCAGACACAGCUCUGCCCUUUUGACAACAACAGAAAAGCAGUCUUUGGAACGAGACUUCUGCUUAUCAAGAGAGUUUCCCUGCUUCAGAUCUGUCUGGAAACAGUUUACCUCAGGGUUGGCAGGUCAGCAGGUGGAGUAGCUGCAAGGGCUUUACCUCUCCUGCAUAGUCUGGGGAGACCUCUCACCGUACCCCACAGGUAAGUAUUUGGGAAUCAAUUUUAUCCUCUGAUGCCUCUGCCUUCCUUAUUACCCCCUUUAUAUCAUUAUCUGUUCCUGACCUCACUUCAUGAAACGCGUCUACCUGCCUGGUGAAUCUCAAGUACCCAUCAAAGAGCCCAAGAAUCUUGGACCUUGCCAGACUGAAUACUCAGACUCCUUUCGUAACCAUUUAAAAAUAUGCCAUGGUAUCUGGAGUUCCAAGUCCAGGGGUUUUCUUUGCACUAGGGACUUCAAACACCACCACGGACUGCAAACAGGAGCCAAGUGGGGGCUCAUUUGUGAAAGCACUGUAUUAGUCUAUUUGUGUCCACUCCCUCCAUUUUUAUCAGCAAAGUAUCUAUUAGUGAGCAAUUACCAAUUCACCGACCUGAGAGCUUUCUGCUGUGAAAUAUUUCCCAGUGAAUCAACAAGCCAAGUUGUUGGACUGCUAUGAAUGAUAAAAUGGCAUCCUUGGUCCUCUUUUGAUACUCAGACUAUAUUGUUGCCCUGGGAAGAAACAAGCUCCAAACUCACAUUUAAGACCCCAGAUAAAAAAGUGACGCCAAGUUGCGCCUCACAGGUGUUUUGGCACCAGCACGUCCACCAGGGAAUUUCUUAAGUCAAAUGAGCAGAUGGACUUGCCAUUUGAUAUCCUGAGCUUGUCCUGCACGAAUCAACUCCUAAAUAUUAUUCUGCUCUGUGGGCAAUUCUCUGCAAUCAAAUCUCUGGUAGGUUUCCCUUGAAAACUGCUCUUGGAAAUUCACCUGACGUGGUUUCCUUCCUCUAAAGCUUGUGUAACUACACAGACAGAAGACUUCUUGGGCCAAAGAGAUUCCUGCAAUAACCAAGAAUGGCAAAAUAAAUAAUAGUUUGACUGGUGAGAAGAAGAAAGAUGCACCAGAGCCUGGAUUUAUAACUGCUAACCAUUCUUCUCAUUUUGCUCAGGAAAGGUACUUUUCUAAUCCACCUGCUCAAUUAUUUCUCAUGCUAUGUGUCUCCUCUUAAUUGUCACUGGGGCAAAGCCUUUAUGUUGUAAGGGGACACCCUAGUAUUUUUUUUAAAGACCUUAGGCGAAGUGAUUGACACUGGAUCCUGGAGUCAGAUGUUCCCAGUGACGCAACUUGUUCUUCCAGUGGCCGAAAAGCUUCCUGCCACGAUUAAGUUAGAACUGUGAAAGUGCUAAAAUGUGUUGUCAGCCUUCCUCUGAUGCAAGCACUUUUAUUAUAGAGCCUAGUUGCAAGGAGUAUAGAAACAUGAAUCCUGUCUCCAAAUACCUCUCCUCUCUGGACUAGGCACUCUAUGCACAAAGGCAAUGUGUUCUCUACAUGCCCUGGGAGCUUGAAAUACACAAGGUAACAGUCAUGCCUCCACCAAACUCAGCUUUUCCUUGGCUCUACUCUUGUCCCAUUUCAUUUGUUCUUCUGGGUUCAUACAACAACUGAAUUAUGGUUGGCAGUCUCCAGUGCUGAAACACUCACCAAGUAGUCUAGUCCAAGCAAGAAGAAGCAACCCAUUCUGUAUUUGAGCUUGACAUGGAAAAUCACUUGUUUGCUUCUUCAAUAGGAGACUGAGAUGGAGCAAAAGUAUGUUUUUAUUGUUUCUGACACAGCCCAUACUUCCUAUGCAAAUGCUUGAGAACCUGGGAGCAAUGGGUGUCAGAUACACCACCAUCCAGUGUUGGAAGAUCCAUUCCCUCUUAAAACAACACAAAGGCCUUUGUCAACUCCCCUCUUCCUGGGUGGUUUCCCUGAGCCUGCUGCAGGGUUCACAGGCAAAGGGUAUUUUUGGAUGUGGCUGAGUGGUUAGACAGGGAAUAAUCUGGUUUAUUACUGAUGCAUUAAUUUAUGGAUGCUGUGCUACAACUAGUGCAAUAAUACCAAAACACACACAAAGCUAUGGACCAUAAAAUUUUCUAAUUAAAUUGGAAAGGAUGGAGAAACCAAUAGGGAGAAGACUAUACUACCAUUAUAUUUAUGCUUGACUCUUGUAAGUAUUUAUUCCAGAUUACCAUAGACACUGUGUCCCCAUUCUAUCUUGAAAUCAGAGAUGUUGGAAUCCAAAUAUGUGGUUAAUACUCAGAUUGGGAAACUGGGCUCUGUAGAUUUGUAUUGCUUCUGGAGAAUGUUUCUGCCUGAACUGUCUGAGCUAGGGUCAUCUUAAUUCAAGUGCAAUGCAUACCUUUAACUAACUCAAUUUCUGUUACCUAGAUGUGCUUGGUCCAUUGUACAUGCUCAGCAAAUACUGAGAAAAUAAGAGAAUGAAUGGAAAAGAACUCAGUGUGAGAAGAGAGCUAGCCUGAAUCAGCAGUUCCCUAACAUUGCUGCAUAUCCGAUGUGCUUACAAGCUUGUUAUAUUCAAUGUCUUUUCAAGUACCUCUUCCCCAUCGACCCAUAUUAUUUUUUAAAUUAAUUAUAAUAAUUCAAAAAAAUUAUAAUAAUUCAAAUAUUAUAGACAUUUCUAAACAAAAAUCAUCUCCUUCCUUUUUCUUGAAGCAAGACCCCAACGAUGCAAAACACUCUUAACAACUCACCGCGUGUUCCUUUGUAUUUUUUCUUUGUUUACACAAAUGCACAGCCUUUCACCUUGCCAUAUAAAAAUGACAUUGAAUGAAAAUACUUGUUAAAACUUGACUUUUCACAUAAUGUAUUGCACUCUUCCCAGUUAAUACAAUACAUCCCAAGCUGCUUCAUUCACUUCAUUUUCCUCCAUAGCACCCCACAAUAUAAUUACAUAUUGAUUCUUUCAAAGGUUGUUUGUGUGGGCUCAUAAACGUUGGAAACUCA
rnacentral:lncRNA from 1 species